GUCCACGCCGUAAACGGUGGAUGCUGGAUGUGGGCCCGUUCCACGGGUUCCGUGUCGGAGCUAACGCGUUAAGCAUCCCGCCUGGGGAGUACGGCCGCAAGGCUAAACUCAAGAAAUUGACGGGGCCCGCACAAGCGGCGGAGCAUGCGGAUUAAUUCGAUGCAACGCGAAGAACCUUACCUGGGCUUGACAUGUUCCCGACCGCGGCAGAGAUGUCGUUUCCCUUCGGGCGGGUUCACAGGUGGUGCAUGGUCGUCGU
rnacentral:rRNA from 1 species